AUAUCUCAGAAGUACCAGUGCUACAUAGAGCGGGGCACCCGGCCGCCCCAGGGCAUCCGUGCUGGCUGUGCCGAUAUCUACGGAGCUUACAUCGACUGUCAGUGGAUCGACGUUACCGACAUCCGAUCCGGCCGAUAUGUCCUGCGGAUUCGUGUUAACGCUGACCGAAAGGUGGCCGAGGCGAGCUUUGACAACAACCAGGUCAUCUGUAACGUGGUGCUCGACCUGGAGAAUGACGGCGUCCGAAUCUCCAACUGCCGGAACGCGCCGCUCUGAAAACUCUGUGUAGUAGCGAGGAGAGGAGCAGGAGGGAGAGCCUGAGAGCACGUCUACGGCCAUAUAUUUUUGAAAUUUCGCUAACCGUGAUAAUUUAGCGUGGAGAAGCGGCGCGGCUCGAAUCGAUGAACAUUGUGGCUAUCUGAGAAGGUCCUGAUUUUGAUCAAUGCACGGUGCCACUAUUGGAACAUCCUGUGAAGUAAUGCAGCUAAAAUGAGUGUCA